rnacentral:rRNA from 1 species
GACGAACGCUGGCGGCGUGCUUAACACAUGCUAGUCGAACGGAAAGGCCCUGCUUUUGUGGGGUGCUCGAGUGGCGAACGGGUGAGUAACACGUGAGUAACCUGCCCUUGACUUUGGGAUAACCUCAGGAAACUGGGGCUAAUACCGGAUAGGAGCUCCUGCUGCAUGGUGGGGGUUGGAAAGUUUCGGCGGUUGGGGAUGGACUCGCGGCUUAUCAGCUUGUUGGUGGGGUAGUGGCUUACCAAGGCUUUGACGGGUAGCCGGCCUGAGAGGGUGACCGGCCACAUGGGGACUGAGACACUGCCCAGACUCCUACGGGAGGCAGCAGUGGGGAAUAUUGCACAAUGGGCGGAAGCCUGAUGCAGCAACGCCGCGUGCGGGAUGACGGCCUUCGGGUUGUAAACCGCUUUCGCCUGUGACGAAGCGUGAGUGACGGUAAUGGGUAAAGAAGCACCGGCUAACUACGUGCCAGCCGCCGCGGUAA